GACGCGAGCGGUCCGCAGUCUAGUUGCGGACGGCGCCACGAGAGAGUGUACGGUCGCUGCGCUCUCGGGUGCUGGCGAGGCUCUCUCUCUCUCUCUCCCUCCUCUCUCUCUCCCCCACACAUACGUCUCUCUCUCUCUCUCUCUCUCUCUUUCUUUUUCUUUUUUGGGGGGACUUUGCGUGCGCGUCCCGUCCGGAAAGAGCGUCCGGCUGGUUUCUUUUUAUUUAUUAUUUAUUCUUUGUUAUUCCCUGUCUUUUUUCUGUCUCUCUCUCACUCUCACUUGUUCUUUGUCUUUCGUCUUUUGUUAUUUUCUCUCUUUUCUUUUCUUUUUUAUUCUGUCCGUUCGUCCGUUUCGUCGUCGUCUUCUCUCUGCGGUUCGUCUCCCAUCCGCCCCGUCAUCGGUCGACGUCAAAUCGCCUGCGGAAUUGUUCGGAAAGAAUUUCGGACCGAUCCCCCCCCCCCAUCUUCGAGUGCCCGGAAGCCAUGGCUGACUUGGAGGAAAAACGACAGUGCCAAAAGACCUCUCUUGUAGACGUCGCUACGCCCACAACUCCAUCGCCAGGCCGCCCGCGACGGCACGGCGUUCGGGCGCGCGGGCGGGCGGCGAGGACGUGUGUGUGUCGGAAAGGCAGACUCGCCCGCUGAAAAAGUCUGCGGGUUUGGCACUCCACAUUUGACCACUGCGGCCUGACCUUACCGUCUCCGUGAGGCAAGACCAUGCAGGCAGGCAAGCAAGCAAGCAAGCCACGUCACCACAGAGGCCGUCAUCAUCCCCCUCCCCUUUCCCCCAUCCCCCUCCUCCUCCCUGCGUUGCAAGAGACCUCCUGCAACGCGCCCCCCCCCUCUUUCGCCUCCCCGUGCCAGAGGGGUAGACUGAAAAGGGGGAGGGAGUAGAGAGAGAGAGAAAGAGAGGGAGUAGAAGGGGGGGGAGAGAGGGAGGAGUAGAGAGGUGUGGCAGGACCUAACUGUUGCACGUAAUCACCACAAAUGCAGAUCAGAUUGAUGAUGAAAAGGAAGAAGGAGAAGAAGAAGAAGAGAAAGAGAGAGAGAGAGAGAGAGAGAGAGAGAGGAAGACUUUAUUCCACGCCCACUUAAAUCCCUUUUAAUUUAGAAAUGAACUAGAAGUAUAUUAAUUAUGAAUAGAACUUUGAUAACGGAUCAGGUGAAUUCAAAAUUCCUCCUGAAAAAAGUCGUUAACUGGCUCGUUUUCAAACUAGCGAUUCCUAACCUAACGGCCAACGAAAGGAAAAGGAAAAAGAAAUAAACAGCUAGUUUGCUAGUUCAUUCAUUCCUCUCCCCUCCCCUUCCCCCAUCCCCUACCCCCCUCCUCUCCCCUCCUUAUCCUCCUCCCCCCUUCCCCCUUCCUCCUCCUCCUCUCCCCCUUCCCCCUUCCUCUUCCCCCCCUUUCCCCCUUCCUCCUCCUCCUCCCCUUCCCCCCUUCCUCCUUCUCCUCCUCCUCCUCCUCCCCCCCCCCACUACCCACACACGCCGCCCGCCCCUGCCCAUCACCCUCGGCGUCACACCUGCGAGGGCGCCCACCUGUUCAAACACCGCCCAGCCCACGUCUCUACCAGCGGGUGGCGGCGACGGCGAGAGAUCCUAAGGGCGUGGGCGUAAGGCUGUGGGCGUGUGAGGGGGGGGGGGUCUGUGGGCGGACGUGAGCUGCGGCAAAUAUGGAGGAUGACAAUGAUGACUUGCAGAAAUUCGCUUUGUUGGUUACCUUCGAGUGCCAAGGGACGGGCUGGCACUGGAAGGGGUGCGAGUGGCGAAUGGCACCCUGUGUUCGGAGGAGAGAGAGAGAGACUUGAAGAGAUGGAGAGAGACGGCAAAGUGCAAAUGAUUCCAGGAGUGAGACCAGACGAAACGCCUUCAAGUCUUGGGCUCAAAUAGGCCUAUCCUUGGAAUAGAAAAGACUAGCUGGUGUUUGGCGGCGAAGGGCGGGCCAUUGUUACCAGGUCGGCGGAGAAGCUUAAUGGAAAGAUAAUAGAAAUGAUACAGUGUUGCCAGAGUUUUCCUCUCUCUUUCUUUCU